rnacentral:rRNA from 1 species
AUUGAACGCUGGCGGCAUGCCUUACACAUGCAAGUCGAACGGCAGCGCGGGGGCAACCUGGCGGCGAGUGGCGAACGGGUGAGUAAUAUAUCGGAACGUACCCUGGAGUGGGGGAUAACGUAGCGAAAGUUACGCUAAUACCGCAUACGAUCUAAGGAUGAAAGCAGGGGACCGCAAGGCCUUGUGCUCCUGGAGCGGCCGAUAUCUGAUUAGCUAGUUGGUAGGGUAAAGACCACCAAGGCAUCGAUCAGUAGCUGGUCUGAGAGGACGACCAGCCACACUGGAACUGAGACACGGUCCAGACUCCUACGGGAGGCAGCAGUGGGGAAUUUUGGUACAAUAGGGCGCAAGCCUGAUCCAGCAAUGCCGCGUGAGUGAAGAAGGCCUCGGUUGUAA